rnacentral:rRNA from 1 species
AUUGAACGCUGGCGGCAGGCCUAACACAUGCAAGUCGAACGGUAACAGAAAGCAGCUUGCUGCUUUGCUGACGAGUGGCGGACGGGUGAGUAAUGUCUGGGAAACUGCCUGAUGGAGGGGGAUACCUACUGGAAACGGUAGCUAAUACCGCAUAACGUCGCAAGACCAAAGAGGGGGACCUUCGGGCCUCUUGCCAUCGGAUGUGCCCAGAUGGGAUUAGCUAGUAGGUGGGGUAACGGCUCACCUAGGCGACGAUCCCUAGCUGGUCUGAGAGGAUGACCAGCCACACUGGAACUGAGACACGGUCCAGACUCCUACGGGAGGCAGCAGUGGGGAAUAUUGCACAAUGGGCGCAAGCCUGAUGCAGCCAUGCCGCGUGUAUGAAGAAGGCCUUCGGGUUGUAAAGUACUUUCAGCGAGGAGGAAGGUGUUGUGGUUAAUAACCGCAGCAAUUGACGUUACUCGCAGAAGAAGCACCGGCUAACUCCGUGCCAGCCGCCGCGGUAA